CGGCUUUUGGGUGGUUAUUUUUGGGCGCGGCGGUGCACGCGGCCUAUUUUUGGUACACGGAGGCUGCUCACAAUGUCUCGCGCCAUUCCGAGUCCGGCGGACGAAGUUGGCCAGCCCCACCCCCCAAGGCUAUAGCCAACCUGUUUUUGUGGCCUUUUUCCACGGGAGAACUUGGCGCCCCGGCCUUCGGGUGGUUAUUUUUGGGUGCGGCUGUGCCCGCGGCCUAUUUUUGGCACACGGAGGCCGCUCGCAAAGUCUCGCAGCAUUCCGAGUCCGGCGGACGAAGUUGGCCAGCCCCACCCCCCAAGACUAUAGCCCACCCGUUUUUGUUGCCUUUUCCCGCGGGACGAACUUGGCGCCCCGGUUUUCGGGCGGUCAUUUUUGGGUGUAGCUGUGCCUGCGGCCUAUUUUUGGCAAACGGAGGCCGCUCGCAAAGUCUCGCGCCAUUCCGAGUCCGGCGGACGAAGUUGGCCAGCCCCACCCCCCAAGGCUAUAAUAGCC
rnacentral:lncRNA from 1 species